rnacentral:rRNA from 1 species
GACGUAGGGGACGAGCGUUGUCCGGAUUCAUUGGGCGUAAAGCGCGCGUAGGCGGUUCGGCAAGUCGGAUGUGAAAACACGAGGCUCAACCUCGUGCGUGCAUCCGAUACUGCCGGACUAGAGGUAGGUAGGGGAGAUCGGAAUUCCUGGUGUAGCGGUGAAAUGCGCAGAUAUCAGGAGGAACACCGGUGGCGAAGGCGGAUCUCUGGGCCUGACCUGACGCUGAGGCGCGAAAGCUAGGGGAGCAAACAGG